rnacentral:rRNA from 1 species
GACGAACGCUGGCGGCGUGCUUAAUACAUGCAAGUCAACUUGACUUUAGAUAGCAAUAUCGAAAAGUAGGGUGGCGCACGGGUGCGUAACGCGUAGGUAAUCUGCCCUGAGGUCUGACAUAACCCGUCGAAAAGGCGGGCUAACAUCAGAUGAUAUAUAAUCACGACAUCGGUGGAAAAUAUCAAAUCUUCGGAGCCUUGGGAUGAGCCUGCGUCUGAUUAGGUAGUUGGCGGAGUAAUAGCCCACCAAGCCUACGAUCAGUAGCUGGUCUGAGAGGAUGAUCAGCCACACUGGAACUGAGGCACGGUCCAGACUCCUACGGGAGGCAGCAGUAAGGAAUAUUGCUCAAGU